GAAGAACGCUGGCGGCGUGCUUAACACAUGCAAGUCGAACGAGUGGCGAACGGGGGAGUAAUACGUGAGGAACCUGCCCUCUUUUUGGGAUAAGCAAUGGAAACGGGGGCUAAUACCGGAUAAAGGGGGAUGGGCUCGGGGCCUAGCAGCUUGUUGGUGGGGUGAUGGCCUACCAAGGCGGGGACGGGUAGCCGGCCUGAGAGGGUGACCGGGCACAUGGGGACGGCGAUGCGUCCUAGACUCCUCCGGGGGGCGGCAGUGGGGGAUAUUGCACAAUGGGCGAUGGACUGAUGCAGCGACGAUGCGGGGGGGAUGCGGGCUUUCGGGUUGUGUACCUCUUGCGCUAGCGAACGGGUAGGUGGAGAAGAAGCGCCGGCUAACUACGUGCCAGCAGCCGCGGUAAUUC
rnacentral:rRNA from 1 species